GGUGGCUCAGUGGUAGAGCACUUGCCUUGCAAGCCUGAAGCCCUGGGUUUGAUUCCUAAGCACUA
rnacentral:tRNA from 1 species